CCGGUCGCUGUUGUUGCACCUUCCCUAUUGCCGGUCCGCUGCAGUUUGAUCUAAUCAGGUUGUGAGGUUAAUAGUCUUGAUUUUCAAGAACUUGUUUGCCAAAGAAGCUUCGGAGCUCAGGUGGUAGAUCUUGGACUUCCACAAAUUGUUCAAAGUUUGAAAGCGUAGGCCUGGAGUGACGAGUUGGAAAGCAACUUAUGAUAAUUUGCUUGGGACCAACAAGCCUUUUCCACGGCCGAUUCCUCUACUGGAAAUGGUGAAUUUUCUUGUUGAUGUCUGGGAAGAAGAGGGAUUGUAUGACUAAAUAGCUGCAAGAUGAAGGGAUCGAUGUUUUUUCAGCCAAUUGGAACAUGAUUAUUUAGUUGAUAUCGUUGUGCAGAGUUUGUGUUUGUUUCAGCUGGUCUGAACUUACGAACUGGGGUUCAUUACAGUUUUUAGAGAUCAACUCAUCUUGAGAAAAUGUAGCCACAAAAUCUACAUUAUUUUGGGUUUAUAAACGUUGUGUUCAGUUAGAUGGGUUUGCCCCUGAGCUUGGUUUGAAAA